AAAUACAGACACCCUUCUAGUGAAAGGUCCUCACUUCAGCUGAAGAGAAAGAAGUUGGUUCAUGACUCCUAGGUACACAGGGUGCAUCACUUGGAAAUGGAUGCUGAAACUCCAAAUCCCAAUCCUGGUCACCUUUGAUGAAUGCAGACAUCAUAUGUGUUGCCUGUAGCAGCCAUGCAAGGGGUUUGAGUUGUCUUGAACGUUUCUGAUGAGUGGAGUUUUAACCCAAUUUCCAUCUGCUGCACCUGUACUGCAUGGAUUCUUGACCAUUUCUGCAUGGUAGUAUAAAAACUGCUACCCUCCUCGCUCCUGUAAUGCAGACCACAUUUACAGCUUCGUAAAGUGUUUAAUUACUUUGACUCUUGCUGAACUCUUGCU